GAGGGCACCACCGCGUCCUUCAAGGAGGAGAGCAACCUCGUCGCCGACCUCGCCGACCCCGAGCAGAAGGCGCUCGCCCAGCUCAAGGAGCUCGUCGCCGCCGCGCUCGCCAGCGGGGAGUUCGACCUGCCCCCGCCCCCGCCUCCGCCCGCUCCGGCGGCAGAGGAGCCGGCCAAGGAGGAGGAGGCGGCGGCGGCCAAGAGCGAUGUGGCGGCCGAGGUUGGUGAGGCGCCGAAGACUGAGGUGGCGGCCGCGAGCGAGCCCAAGGCCGAGGAGCCUGCCAAGGAGGAGCCCAAGACGGAAGCGCCGGCCCAGGAGGAGCCCAAGGCUGAGGAGCCUGCCAAGGUGGAGCCCAAGGCCGAGGAGGCACCACCGGCGGCGGUGGCUGUCGUGGAGGAGCCCAAGGCUGAGGCACCGGCGGCGGUGGCUGCCGCGGAGGAGCCCAAGCCUGAGGUGGUGGCCGAGGAGGCAGGCGCCAAAACCGUGGAGGCCAUCGAGGAGACCGUCGUCCCCGCCGCGCCCGAGCCGAAG
rnacentral:lncRNA from 1 species